rnacentral:rRNA from 1 species
GAUGAACGCUGGCGGCGUGCCUAAUACAUGCAAGUCGAGCGAACAGACGAGGAGCUUGCUCCUCUGACGUUAGCGGCGGACGGGUGAGUAACACGUGGAUAACCUACCUAUAAGACUGGGAUAACUUCGGGAAACCGGAGCUAAUACCGGAUAAUAUAUUGAACCGCAUGGUUCGAUAGUGAAAGACGGUUUUGCUGUCACUAUAGAUGGAUCCGCGCCGCAUUAGCUAGUUGGUAAGGUAACGGCUUACCAAGGCAACGAUGCGUAGCCGACCUGAGAGGGUGAUCGGCCACACUGGAACUGAGACACGGUCCAGACUCCUACGGGAGGCAGCAGUAGGGAAUCUUCCGCAAUGGGCGAAAGCCUGACGGAGCAACGCCGCGUGAGUGAUGAAGGUCUUCGGAUCGUAAAACUCUGUUAUUAGGGAAGAACAAAUGUGUAAGUAACUAUGCACGUCUUGACGGUACCUAAUCAGAAAGCCACGGCUAACUACGUG